UCCCUGGUGGCCCAGCUGGUUAAGGCGUCCGACUGUUAUCCGCUCACACGGACAGCACAUCGGGAGAUCGACAGUUCGAUCCUGUCUCGGGGAG
rnacentral:tRNA from 1 species